GAUCCGCAAAGAAAGUACCAGGUGGGGAAGUCUGGCUGGGACCGUGGCGGAGUGAAUCUGGGGAAGGGAAGAUGAGGCCCUGAGGACGAUUCUUACCUCUGACUUUUCUUCUCUGAGAUACAACUGGCGCCCUGUGGCCACCGGCACGAGACCCUUGAGUGCCAUUUCCUACUUGCACGGUCUCCUAAAACCUCACGUCCACAAAGCAUCUCUAUGCUGCUACAGUUGCCGUUGGUUCCGAGGGUCAAGGGCUGCGCUCAGCCAGGAACCCCAAGUUGUCCGACCCCAGCCCUCGCCUUCCGCUCCGGAGCCGCGCACAGGGUGCUGACCCCGCAGCCCCGCAGGGCCCGGCCAUUCCCCGCCAGCGCAGCGAGGGAGGAGCAGGACAGACAAAGCAACGACUGCACCUCCUGCGGUCCUCGCUGCUGAACUGCUCAGUCCUUGGGUCGGUCCCCACAGUCCUCCUCCACCUCUGCCUUCCUGCCCUUUGACCCCUUUCCCCAGCCCUUCCUCCCAGCUCGAGUGCCAGCAUCUAACCCUUUCCAGACCUCCCAGCCUCCCCUCGGAGACAGAUGCUCGUUCC
rnacentral:lncRNA from 1 species